GGGGAGUCUACGGCUUUCUCUCUGUCUGAGAUUUAUCCGCUGCAAAGUGAAGGCUUAACUUAAGGUCACACAAUCACAAACAUCAUUCAUUUUUCUAACGUAUUAAAUGUGUGUUUGUUUAGGCACCAGGGAGAAGAGCGAGGUGUCCAGGCUUACUACAAGCCCUCCUCCAGCCCGUCUGUCCAUGGCUUCCUCGGGGCCGGGGAGCUCGACAGACCUCUGGACAGACUGUGGAACGUAAUCUGCCAGCUGUCCAAGAGCCACAUGUACAAUCAGUCGGUCCGCUCUGUCUGGACUCGACCACUAGAUGACAGCACUCAGCUGGUUUAUAUCCUAACAGAUCCGUCCACCUGCCAUCUCAGCCAGCCGCGGGACUUCUGCUGCAUCAGCACCGAGUCCAAACAGGGUGGCUUGUGCGUGCUGGCAAUGCAAGUCUGUUUUCGAGGAGUCUCUGCCGCGUCCCAGUGUGGAUGCAGUCAGAGGGGAGAUGAUGCCGAGCUGCUGGGUCCUGCAGCCAAUUAUACGUAGUGGACAGGAAGCCACCAGGGUCAUCUACCUGCAACAGGUGGACCUGGGAACUCCAUCCUUCCCUCACCGACUGUUGAACACUGUUACCAGAAGACACGCAGCCGUCAUCGCUGAUCUCGACGUUUUCCUCGCUAAAUCCGCCGGACCGAUGAAGACGCCUCGGCAGUGAGCACUUACACUAAACGUCUCCAGCACUGGAGUUAGUUUGACUUUUGAAUUUGCACCUGGAAUGUAUUUACUUGACGUUUUUUUAAGAGCACUGUUCUGUUGAUUCCCAGUUUCACCGUUUAAGCAGCUUUCUUUCUUUUUUUUAUAUGAAGGUAUCUUUUUUAUAAAAAACGUAAACUGUAUUUUUAUAUUUGUAAUGUUGAAUGCUUGUAACAAUCAUAAUCCUACUUUACCAAAGAUUCAUCAGAGGUUUAAGGGAACUGCGUUUAGAGUUAGACAGCUUGAUGAUUAAUUAUCCAAGCUUCAGAGUUUCCUUAUCACGUCAUGUGAUGAAACGGGUUCAUUAACACCUGAUCAGUAUCAGACAUUUAAAGCCUUUUAAACAAUAUGGUGUCUAUUGCUUUCUACCAUAUUGUAACGUGGGUAGCUAAAUCUUUUAAAGGCAACAAGGUCGCAGCUAGACGACCUUUAAAUUGAAGUUAAAGAGUCGGUCAGCACAUAAUCGAAGGUUACACUGAUUUGAUAUUUAUUUACUUGUGUGUUCUCGCUAUUGUUUACUUUCUAUCUGAUGGAUAGAUGCAGCCAUCUUUGUUGUCAAUACACCUGAGAUUAAGACCUUAAAACAGAAGGCACUUUCACUCUGUUCCUUCCGGGUCAAGCACUUUUUAUAAAUGCUUUGCUUCAGCCGACUCAGACGAUGCAAUGAAAGCUGGAACACUGAUACUUACAAGGGAAAGUAUUUGAAGGUCAGGGAGGGGACACGUCCGCAUGAGGCGCACCACAUCCAAACGUAUGAAGGAAAUAUUCACAAACGCUGUUUAACCCUGAUUUGUUGCAGUACAUAUGAUAUAUGUACGUAUUCGCUCGUGCACUGCUUAUUCUAACCACUCGCAAAAACCUUAAAUCUGCAGGAAAUGACCUUCAAAUGUCCUUCAACAGUUUGGUAGCAAAAAGGGUUAAAGCAAAUAUAUUAAAGGGACUGUACGGACAUUUUUGAGGGAGGGUGUAGUCUUUUUCUUCCUGUCCCAUAUUUUAUAUCGGCAUUUGAAACUUUUUAAAUGUUUAAAGAAAACAUUUGGAGCCUCACUUCCCCAAUAACUUCCCCACAGUCCGUAAGCUAGGUGUUGGAUAUUCAGCUGGUGUAUUGAAGGAAUCCUAAGACUUUUGUAUUUGAAGUAUGCUGUGUAGGCACUGCACCUUUUGAAACCACUUGACAGAACUGCAGGAAAUCUGGUCCAUAACAGUUAUGUAGCAAAACAGGGAGUAGAAAAAUCAACCAAAGCUCUUCAAUCGGUGUCCUUCAGCAAGACACUGAAGAUCCAGGGAUGAUGCUCUACAGCGCCCUCUGACCUCCUUUUUAUUUCACAAUAUGGUACCCCGAGUCUGCAGUCUGUUUCUCAACCUUCUCUGAAGUCUAUUUAUUGUGUUCCUCUUGCCUUCUGUUUAGAAAUGCUGUUGAAUGUGUUUGUCUAGUUUUGAUGGGGGGGAUUAUUUAGUUUUAUGAGCAGAGCACGGUGCUGCGUUUUACAGCCGCUCGUACAAAACUGUUAAUGCAUUUAUUAAUGUUGCGUAUUAAAAACUUUGUUUUUGUUUGUACGGUGUUGAAGCUAUGCAGACGCUGAUCACAGGCGGGACUGUUCUCAGUCAAAGCCGCGUCGGCUGGAUCCAGAUAUGAAGCCAUAUUAUUUACAGUAGUCGGAGGUUCGCGACGAUGUGUUGGCAGCGAUCGGUUUGAGACUAAAGAUGUUCCCGGAGCAACCAAAGAGAGAAACUGACACACACUGAGAAUAGAGACAACCUUUUGUACUGAGUUCUUUUUUUUAUGCGUUUCUAUAUAUUUUUAAGUGCUCGUUUCAUUUUGUAUAAAAAAAACAAAAACCUUGUUAUUUAUGUUUUGACGAUGUGUUGUAAAUGUAUUUUAUUAUAAACACUCUGCUUCCUGUUGCUAAUGAGAUGUUAUGUUUGUUUUUUAUGAAUACAAUAAAUAUUUAAAGUCACUUUUUUUUUUACCGUCUGUUUGUUUGUGUG
ensembl:lncRNA